rnacentral:tRNA from 1 species
UGGGUUGUGGCUCAGUGGAAGAGCGCUCGCCUAGCACAUGUGAGGCACUGGGUUCCAUCCUCAGCACCACAU